rnacentral:tRNA from 1 species
GAGGGUAUAGCUCAAGUGGUAGAGCACAUGCUUAUGAAGGUACAAGGUCCUGGGUUCAAUCCCCAGUACCUCCU